AAGACCCUACCGUGUGCGAUGUGGUGCUGGUAACUUCUGUUCCAACACCAUAUGAAAGGGAGCCCGGCCUCCGGGUGCGGCGCGUACGCCGCGUCAUGCGGACACGUAAAACAUCCGGGAGGGCACCCACCUGCAGGGCGCAGGGAUAUGAGAUGUUACCGGUAAGACGGCACGGUGGGGUCUUC
rnacentral:other from 1 species